AAUCCAGGAAAAUCAAGUUCCAUAAACAAUUAAACUCCCAAUUUUCAGCUGAUUAUUUGAUUGGAAACAAUUAAAAGACAAAGACAAAGAUAAACACACACACACACACAUUAACAAUUAACUGAAAUCAUGGUUAAAUCAAAUUUAAUUGUCUCUCUCAUGGUCUUAUCCUCAAUCCUCCUCAUUUUAAAUCCAUUGGUUUCAUGUCAUGUUAAUUCAAACGACGAUACAGAUUUGAGGGAUCUUUAUGAUCUCUUUUUGAGAAAUGAGAAUCAACAAGCUGACCAGUAUAAUCGAUUUGGUCAUCAGAUGGAGAGGAAAGGAGGACGAUCGCCAUCACUUAGACUACGAUUCGGUCGACGAGCUGACCCACUUUGGUCCAAUCGUCCAUCCAUGGCUGAGAUUAAUAGUGCUGAUGUGUCAAAGAAAUAGACGAUUAAUUGUGAAUUAUUGUUGAUUAUUUAUCUCCACUAAUCAACAUUGAAUUUUGAUUUGACAAAACAAAACGAAAAACAAAAACACUACUAUUACUAAAUUGUUUACCUUUUGAUUGUGAUUGUAAUGUAAAGCAACUGAUAGGAAUUGAGAUGAAAAUCAAAUUACUAAUCAUGAAUGAUAAUCAACGCACAGAAAAAAAAAACAAAACUAAAACAAAACCUAAUUGUGAACAAAACUGUUUGACUAAUUAACAAACUUGAGAUGAUGAAAUUUGAACAAACGAAAACAAAUAAAAAACUAAAUGAAAUCAAUCAUUUUUAUUAAUCACUGUUAAUAUAUAACUCUAAAUUGUUAUCCUUUUUAGUUAAUUACUUUCUAGGGAUAUUAAAACAAUCAAUAUUUGCUUUUUUUUGUUCAUCAUCUCAUCAGACUAAAAAUUAAAUCAUUAUUUCCGCUUCCUUGAUUGUGUUCAAUCAUUUUCACUAAUAAUCAACAAUCACAAAACAUUGUAAAAGAUUCAAACAUUCAACUGUUCAAUUGUACCAAUUUUAGUUAAUUUGAUUUAUAUUUUCUUUCAGCUUUUUGGUUUCCAUUAAUAAACUGCUAAUUGUUAGUUAAACUAAUGAAACAAUUAAAAGACACUCACAGUUACAGUUAAUAGAAA